rnacentral:rRNA from 1 species
UUAAAUGUAAAAGUUAGAUCAUGUCUCAGAUUGAACGCUGGCUGCAGGCCUAACACAUGCAAGUCGAACGG